rnacentral:tRNA from 1 species
UCUAAUAUGGCAGAUUAGUGCGUUGGAUUUAAGCCCCAAAUAUAAAGAUUAACCUUUUUUUAGAA